AUGGCCCCCCUCCCCGCCCUCUUGCUCGCGUCGGCUCUCCUCCUUGCUGGUUCGGCCUUGUUCAACCGCUACGACGCCGGAAGCGGCGGCACAACCACCACCACGCAUCUGCAUUUCUAUAUGCAUGAUGAUUACACUGGCCUGCGCCCCACAGCGAUGCACAUCGUGUCCGGGCGGUCCCUUGGCACGCCGGCCGUGAGCGACAACACCAACAGUACGGUGCCAUCCACAAGCGCACCACGGCAGUUCGGUGACAUCGUGGCGCUGAACAACGCGCUGACGGAGGGCCCUGGCUGCGGCAGCGCAUGGGUGGGCACGGCCCAGGGUUUCGCUGUGCGCGUGUCAGAGGGCGGCGUUGUCUCUGACCUCAGCAUGCACCUUGUGCUGGGCGCCGGCGAUUACAGUGGCAGUUCGCUGGCGGUGAAGGGGCGCAUCGACAUGGAACUGGCGGUGCGCGAGUCGAUGAUUAUCGGCGGCACUGGCCAGUUCCGAUUGGCGCAGGGGUACAUGCUCAGCAAGAGUUACGACUACAGCCUCGCCGCGGGCGGCAUCGUGGAGAUUGACCUCUACGUGCAGGUGCAGCACGACUAG
rnacentral:rRNA from 1 species